rnacentral:lncRNA from 1 species
UGACGCGUUAAUUUUAACUUUCAGGUCAAAACAAAUAAGAAAAACAAAAAUGAAAAAAUCGAUUAUAUAUAAGUUGCUAAUCCCUACCAUCUUUUCAUUCAUGGGCAAAAUUUCUUACCAUCUUUCCAACUGAAAAGAAAAUAUCAAAAAGCCAAGAAGGGAGAGAAAAAAGUACUUUUUUUCCUCAUAAAAUCUGAUCUUCUCUCUCUAAAAGUGAAGAUUGGAUGGCAGAAAAUAAGCAGCAGCAAUCACCAAUCCCUUUGGCCCCUACAGUCAUUGGCUAUCCACGAAGUGACACAGAAUUAGCAUCCAAUGAUGCAAGAGAAUUACGCAAAAAGAAACGCAUGAAAUGUUUACUUUAUAUUGUUCUCUUCGCCGUUUUUCAAACUGGGAUUAUACUACUUUUUGCCCUAACCGUAAUGAAAAUCAGAACUCCAAAGUUUCGAUUGCAUUCCGCAACGUUGGACAACUUUACAACAACCCCUUCGUUGCGUUUUACGAUGAACGCAGAGUUUGGAGUAAGGAACACGAAUUUCGGGCACUUUAAGUACCAGAACAGCACUGUUUAUUUCUUCUACGGCAGCGAUCAGGUUGGCGAGGUGGUGGUGCAGAGAGCUCGAGCCAGGGCACGGAAGACGAGGAGGUUUAAUGAAGUGGUGGAAUUGAGUUUUCCGGCGAACUCUCAGCUGGGAAAUGGUUUGAGCUCUGGUUUUGUGAGAAUUACUAGCCAAUCAAAACUCAGUGGGAAGGUGGAGCUGAUGAAGGUGAUUAAGAAAAAUAAGGCUACUGACAUGAACUGUUCCAUGGAUAUUGUUAUUGCUACCCGACAACUUCAGAAUAUUGUGUGCAAAUGAUGAAGUUACUAUGUUUUGUAUAUUAUUUUUGGCAUCCAUUGAUGGGUGUUUUAUGCACUUCGUGUUUGCCACCCCCUGCGGCUGCGGCGGCGGGUGGAGGGAGUGGAGGUGUGCUUUGAUACUCUUAGCCACCUAUUUGGCUCUCUUUUUGGUCAUAUAUAUUUCUUGAUUUCUAUUGUGUGUAUUGUAGGAUUAUAGACUUAUAGUUACUACUUGGUACUUCGUUAUAAAAUUUAAAAAAAUAAAAAUAAAAAUAAAAUUACAAUUAUUCUUGAAAGGUAUUAUUUACCUACACUUCUUUUAUGGCUUAAUUUCUUAGCCUCCGUUUGAUAGAAAUUUAUAAAUGGUUUAUAAAUUUAAAUUCGAAGUCAUAUGUAUAUUUAAACAACACAAUAAUAUCUACUAAUCUUUAUUAAACAUACAUUUUAUGAGAUCAAUUACCAUUCCUCUUUAUAGAUUUGCUAAACGAAGUUUUAGUUGUAAGUUAAAGUUUAAAAAAUUAUGCCUAACCAAAUAUGCUUGAAAUAGAAGAAGUGAUAAUGUAUUAAGGUGCUCUCGCUUGCCAUUUGUUGGAACAAUGUUAGCCGACUAUAAGUAUGUUCUGAAAGUAUUUAUGAAUAGUUCUGAUCAUAAAUAAAGAGAAAUGAGUUAUGAAUAAAUAGAUAACACUUAUGGAUUCGAUAAAAUAUGUUAUUAAAAAAAAUUAUUUGAAUGUUUAUAAACACAAUCCAAAUAUAGGCUAAGAAUGCUUCCCUUUUUAAAAAUUUCUCUAGGUUUCUUAAAUUAUGAGUAAAUUUAAUAGAAGAGAGAUACACUUUAAGAGUCAAAAGAAGGGUAAGCAAAUGAAAUGAUAAACCUAGAAAAUUGUUAUUAGUGAAAGAAGAAAAAAUGAACCACUAUCCUAUGAUAAAGAAAGGCAUAUGUGAAAGUGGCCAAGAAGUCUCUCCUCUCUCUCAGGGCAUUUCACUUAGAUUAAUAUCAUUCAAAUCAUUAAUUAUAACUGAAAAAAAGUGCUUAAGAGGUUAUUUCUAUGUAUAUACACUAAGUCAACAAGGUUGACUUAUAGCUCGAAAGACUGCAACGAUACUGGAGAUAUUUUUUGUGUUCAUAUAGAAUGCUUCAACUGUGCUAAAAGUCAAAUAUUUAAUCCCAUAAAGUAGCAUUUCCAUUUUUUUACAAGACCUCUUGAUUAUUCUAUGAAAAUGUUAUGCAUGCAAAAUAAAUAUUUUUAUUUUCACACGAAUUAAAGUAAUGCAAUUAAUAUAAUAAAAAUAUAAUUUUUAAAUCUUUUUUCUUAAUAUAUCUUUAUAUUAAAUAAUUGACUAAAUAAGAGUAGUCCAUAUUUAUUAAUAACAAAACAGAUUAAAUAGAGGUGCUUUAUAAAAUUAAGAAAUUAAUUAUACUAAAAAUAAGAAAAGUGACUUAUAAUUUAGGACAGACUUAAAAGGAAAGAAAGCCGAUCUUUAUAGAAUGGAUGGAGUAAUAGACAUUUAUAAUCAUAUAUCUUAAGGGCUCGUUUGGAAGAAUUCUUUCUUGUUUAUUUAUUUAUUUUUUUUAGGAGAAAAGCUUUCCGAACAAGUUAAAUUAGACCAACUUUUUCCAAAAUUUCUUUUAAUCAGAUAAAAUAAUUCCAAAAAGCUAUUCAAAUAUAUUAAAAAGUUACUUCUUUUAAUACCAAAAUUAACUUUUAAUUUUUUAAAAACUAUGCCAAAAGGACCCUAAAUAAACCUAUAUAAUUCUAGUGCUUAUAGACAUAAAUCAAAUGAUUUUCCUUUUCUCUAAACUUAUGUGGACAACUAUUUCAAUGAAUAAAAAAAUAACCAAAUUAUUACAUCAGCAAAGUCAUAUAGACUGUAAAAUCUUUGAAGCGGUGUAUACACGUUAUCGAAUAGAACUGAGUGAUAUUAAGUUGGAGGAAUUUUAAUGUUCACACAUCAUUUUCCCUAUCUCAAGUUGUAGGGUCAAAAUCAAUAUGUCAACAAACAAUGAUUCUUUAAACAUAAAUAUAAAUCAAAUCUUUCAUACGAAGUUUAAAAAAUUAGAUAAAGGUAUAGUUCAAUACUAUAUUUUAACAUGUGAAAUUUCAAGUUUGAGUUUGUCAUUGAUUCAAUUAUUAAAUUUUUCUAAGUUUUGUUUUUGUUUUUGUUUUUUUUUAUGUGCAUUACCGAAGUAUUCUUCAAAAAAUAAAAUAGAAUAAAAUAAAAUAAAAUAUAUAAUGUUGACGUCAAAAUUAGUAAGACUAAUCUUAAGCCAACUUUUAAAAAAAAGGGUGAUUUAUUGUUGAAAAAAACCACAAAAUAUGUUUAGAGAGCGUAAUUAUGCCUUGAGUUGUUAUAUGAAAUCACUUUUCCUUUACAAGAGUCCGAUUCAACUAUUUAUACAUAGUUUCAGCAGACAUUACAUCAAAUUAGUCAAAUCAGCAAUAGUACCGAGCUCGAAACUCGGGUCGUCGAAUUCUCUUGUGAUUGGUUGAUAAGGCCGGUGGCCAUGUGUCAAUGUUUUUCCCAGGUAAUGAUAACCUGCAAGGGGUUGGAGGUUGAGGACUUAGGAUUGGUUAUUCCGGACGGUGAUAAUGUCACCUGUGGCAAGUGUAUUUGAUUGAUUGGGUGAUGUGACAGGGGGUAAUCAUGAUUUUUUUGAGAUAACGGUGAGAUUGUCUGACCUGGGAGUAAGAACUGAACUCACAUUUAACUGAGGUGGGGUUAACGAACUGUUUUUAUUAGAUCAGAGUUUGAAUGUCGACAAUUACCCCCCAGGUCAGUUCUUUCGUAAGGGGGCUGACCUUCUAACUUCACGGGUUCUUUUUCCAAUAAAAGUAAUUAUUAUUAUGCCAAGUGUCAUGCCUGGGUAGGGAUGAGCUGUACGGCAUUUUUAGAUAGCUUCUUUGAUAAGUUUCCUGAUGCUGUGUCGUUUUGCCCAGGAGACAUUUCAUCUGUAGAUCUUCCCUCCUUUAUUUUGAACUAAUAUCCCAAAUUAAAACCCUGUAUCUUCCUUCUUUUUAAAUAUUCAAUGGCUUUUCAUUUUGUCUUUUUUACUUUACACUGUUUUCUCUCAAAGCACCAACGAAUUUCGAGCACGCCCUGUCCGUCGUUUGAGUAAGGUCGUCCUUCGAGUUUCCAGGUAUUCCUUCGCUUCUUCACUUAGUCCAUUUGUUUUGUUCUUUUCCAUGAGUUUGGACAAGUCGAGGGUUCAAUCCCGGGGAAAUCAACAGGAAGAAUCUAUCCCUUCUACUUUUAGUUCAUCCUCGGGGUGUAGAGAGAUUUUUACUCCUGUUCCUAUUUCUAUUGCUAACCCAUUACUUUGGCCCGUCCUGGGAAGAUGGGGCGAGAUAGGGUAGACGAUGAGGUGGGUUCCUCUAUGGGUAGUGAAGGGAACGAUCAGUUGGAGUAGGGUACUCCUGUUCCUAUUUCUAUUGCUAACCCGUUACUUUGGCCCGUCCUGGGAAGAUGGGGCGAGAUAGAGUAGACGAUGAGGUGGGUUCCCCUAUGGGUAGUGAAGGGAACGAUCAAUUGGAGUAGGGGGCUGAUUCUUACAGGUCGGUAGUUACAGGUGAUAUGUUAGCUAGUUGUAGGGCAAAAUAUGAUAUUCCGAGUUCGGUAAUUAUAAUAAUCCCCGAACCAUUUGACCGUGUUGACACUCCCCCUUUGGGAUGUGUCGCAUUGAAUUCUGCCAUCCUUCAAGCCGGGCUGAGAUUACCUAUUCCUAGGGUUAUCCGUAAGUUUUUGUCUUCUUAGGGCAUAGCUCCGAUCCAGUUAUGCCCAAAUGGGUGGUGGACUUUGAUCGCCACGCUUAUUCUGUGAGAUAGAUUAGGUAACCCUGAGCUUAUGGUUGAGUAGUUCAACUCUUUAUUUACUUUUAAGGAGGAUGGGAAGAUCUUGGGUUGGUGGUACACAAGUGUUAGGUCAAGGAUGGGAGGUUAUUUGGUUUUAAACACCCCCUUCUCGAUUAAGAAAUGGAAUGAAGAGUGGUUCUAUGUGUCGAGGGAGUGGCAGUUUCAUUUUGUCGAGGUGAAUAGGGGACGACGUGAUCCUAGCGCUUUAUCACUCGUUAUGUAAGUAACUGCCUCUUGGUGUUUUGACCUAGAUUGUAUUCCGAGCGGCUCUAAUUGAUAUCAUGUUACUGUACAGAUUACAAUAGGCCUACACUGAAGAAAGACACUCAGAGGCGAGCGGAAGCAAUUCAUGCAUUGCAGAAGAAAUAGAGAUCUUGUAAAUUUUUGCUCUCAAAUUCCAACCUUUUCCAGGCUGACUUGAUUAAAACCAUGGUGUCGGGGCCUUCCACCGUCGCUGUGUCUACAUCGGUUCCGACCAGUUCAGGUCAGUUUUGAUUGGUUUAUUGAGGUGAUAUUUGUUAGAGUUGAGUAUUGACAUACUUUUUUGUCUACAGCUCACAAUUCAGAAAUGUUAGCAUACAAGGCGACGAAAGUUGCGGCCGCAGUAAAGGCCAAGAAUUGGGACGUCCUAGAAUGGGAUGAAAGCCAUUUUGAGGAAGUGGAGGAUGAGGUCCCCUUCAAGAAGAACCAUACUGGUAUGUCGUCGCACCAAGGGUCCCUGAAGCUGAUCCUGUGUUGAGCUCUUCUCCUUUGGUGGCCAUCACUUUGCCAUCUCCAGCUCAUACCUUGCCACCUCAUGCGGCACCUGCUUCCGUUUCGAUUAGCUCGGCAAGGGUGCAGGAGAGGUGCCUUGACUUACAGAGACCAUCACUGGACAGUCUACUAGGCCACCGUCCAGAGAUCUUCCUGGAUUACUUGCGAGCUUCAUCUCCAUCGAGGGAGGUUACUGCUGCACUUCCCCCACUUCUGCAUGAUUCUGCAAACCUGCUUACCAGGAGUUGGGGUAAAAGGGAGCAGGGCUUCCCUAAUGAGAUGUCCAUAGGUGAGGCCCUAGUGACUGCUCAACUCCACGACCAUCCCUUUAUCAUGUACAUGACGGCCGUAGCUAAUAAGGUAUUUUCCAUAUUUGAUGAUUUAUAUAUUUGCGAGGUGCUUAACUUAUGAAUUUUAAUGUAGGUGAAAUCUGAACUCGACAAAUUGAUAGAGGCCAAGGAUCAAGCCUUGAAUUUGUAUAACAACAUGGAGGUUGAGAGAGCUCAGUUUGCAAUAAAAGAAAAAGAAUACGAGGAGAAGCUUAACACGAUGGGGUUUGAGCUGAACUCAAGGCUGGAGAUGGAGAAGAAGUGGAUGGGGGAGAUUACAGCUUUGAGGGGAGAGGCCGAUCGUAAGGCUGAGACUGAGAAGAAGAGGAUUGAGGAAGAGAAUGUUCGGAUUGAGGAGGUUGUGGAGAAGGUACGGGAGGCAAAUGAGAGAGCAAGAGAGGCGAUGCGUAGAGCUGAGAAGGCUGAAUCUAGGACUGCGAGGACAGUGGAGACUUGGUGGUCGUCCUCUGAGUUUGACGCUCUUGCUCAGGAUGCUUAUGUCGUGGCUCUGGAAGAAGUAGUAAAACACAUUCGCAGAGAGAGGCUAGGGUUCGACGUGGGUUUCCUUGAGGAGGUUGUGGAAGAGCAGAAGGAAGAGUUUCAGCAUUUGUCGGAAGUGGCAGGGAUUUGGAUUUCUCCUGCUGAUGAAGAUGAUGCCGCUCCUCACGAAGACCUCCCUCCCCCUAGCUCUUCUUAGGACAUUUUUUGGAUUUGUGAUGAAUUUGUUAAACUUUAUGGAUACCUUGUUUGUGCUUGAAAAUGAGCUGUACUCUAUUUUGAAUGCUUAUGAAAAUGCAUGUUUUUUUGUGGGGCCUAAAUUUUAUUGCUUAUUUCAUCAUUUCGUAAAGUUUUAAUGAUGGAAUGUCUUCUAGGCAGCGUAUGUGACAGAACUCGUAAGUCAUGUGAACCUAGAUCAACUUGCACAUGCUGCUAGGCUUCGUAGAAUUUCCAAAAAGGAAUUUCCGCUAGGGGUCGUAGCAUUUACGACCUUAGAUUGGCCUAUGUAAGUAGUAGGGCUUUGUAAGAUUCCUUAAGAGGAAUGUUCACUAAGGGUAACGCGUACAGCCUCAGAUCGACCUGCGUAAGUAGUGGGGCUUUGUAAGAUUCCUUAGGAGGAAUGUUCACUAAGGGUUGCAGCAUUUAUGACCUUAGAUCGACCUGCGUAUGGAGCAGGAUUUUGUAAGAUUCCUUAGGAGGAAUGUCCACUAAGGUUAAUACGUACAACCUUAAAUCGGCCUACGUAAGUAGCAGGGUUUUGUAAGAUUCCUUAGGAGGAAUGUUCACUAGGGGUCGCAGCACUUCCGACCUUAGAUCGGCCUGCGUAUGGAGCAGGACUUUGUAAGAUUUCUUAGGAGAAAUGUCCACUAAGGGUAACACGUUCAGCCUUAGAUCGGCCUGCGUAUGUAGCAGGGCUUUGUAAGAUUCUUUAGGAGGAAUGUUCACUAAGGGUCGCAGCACUUAUGACCUUAGAUCGACCUGCGUAUGGAGCAUGGCUUUGUAAGAUUCCUUAGGAGGAAUGUCCACUAAGGAUAACACGUACAGCCUUAGAUCGGCCUACGUAAGUAGCAAGGCUUUGUAAGAUUCCUUAGGAUGAAUGUUCACUAAGGGUUGCAACACUUACGACCUUAGAUCAGCCUACGUAUGGAGCAGAGCUUUGUUAGAUUUCUUAGGAGGAAUGUCCACUAAGGGUAACACAUACAGCCUUAGAUCGGCCUACAUAUGUAGCAGGACUUUGUAAGAUUCUUCAGGAGGAAUGUCCACUAAGGGUCGCAGAACUUACGCCCUUAGAUUGACCUGCGUAUGGAGCAGGGCUUUGUAAGAUUCUUUAGAAGGAAUGUCCACUAAGGGUAACACGUACAUCCUUAGAUCGGCCUGCGUAGGGAGCAUGGCCUUGUAAGAUUCCUUAGGAGGAAUUUUCACUAAGGGUAACACGUACAACCUUAGAUCGGCCUGUAUGUAGCAGGGCUUUGUAAGAUUUCUUAGGAGGAAUGUCCACUCAGGGUCGUAGCACUUAUGCCCUUAGAUCGGCCUACGUAUGGAGCAGGGCUUUGUAAGAUUCAUUUUCUCCUCGGUUAGGUCGAGUUCCGUACGAAGAGCCAUGUGGUUCCUUUCGCAGCGAGGGAAUGCUGACUCUAGUGGGAUCACAGCCUCUACACCGAAAGCUAAUGAGAAUGAUAUUUCUCCCGUACUAGUCCUUGUAGUGGUGCGAUAAGACCCUAGCACACUGGGGAGUUCUUUGGCGCAUCCUCCUUUAAACAAGUCGAGUUUUGCUUUCAAUAUGUGCUUAGUAAUUUUGUUAAUGGCUUCGACUUGGCCGAUUUCCUGCGGAUGUUUCGACGUUGAGAAAUAUUUCUUGAUGCUGAACUCUUCACAGAAAUUUGAAAGUCAUGCGUUGUCGAACUAUUUUCCAUUGUCCGUAACAAUAAAGUGAGGUAUGCUGAACCUGCAGAUGAUUGAUUUUCACAAAAAGUCGAUUGUUUUCUGUUCGGUGAUCUUGGCAAGUGGCUCUGCCUCGGCCCAUUUGGUGAAGUAAUCAACUGCGAUGAUGGUAAAUUUUACACCCUCUUUUCCAAUGGGCAUAGGUCCAAUUAGGUCGACCUCUCAUUUCGCAAAGGGCCAAGGUGUUGUUACUGGGUUCAACUCGUGCGGUAGAGCAUUUAUGAUUGGGGCGAGGCGCUAGCAUUUGUCGCAUCUUUUUGACAAAUUCAAGGAAAUCACGUCUUAUUGCAGGCCAGAAGUAUCCUUGUCAUAUGAUCUUGUGGGCUAGUGAGAGCCCACCUGAAUGGUUUCCACAUAUUCCUUCGUGAACGUCUUUCAGGGUAUGCUGAGCUUCUUCUUCAUUUAAACACCUUAACAAAGGAGUAGAAUAUCCCCGUUUGUAUAGUACAUCGUCAAUGAGUGUAUACCUGGCCGACCUGAUUCAAAGCUUUCUAGCCUCCGCAAAAUUUUCGGGACAUUUCCCAAUUUUUAUGUAGAUGACGAUCUCAUCCCGCCAGGUUGGUUUGGGGUCGAUCAUCAUAUGGACCACUUCGUCCAGCUCGGUUGAUGGUAGGGAUAUUCUUCCUAUGGGGAUGCUAUCGAAUUCUUCAAUUUCCUCACUGGUGGCUAGCCGGCCAGUGCGUCGGCGUGAUCGUUCUACGAUCCGGAAAUUUGCUUGAUUUCGGUGGUGUUGAACCUUUCAAGUUCUUUUCUUACAACUUGUAGAUAGUUGUCCAUUCUUUCUUCUUUCGCCAUAUAUACACCGUUGACCUGAUUUACGACUAGUUGAGAGUCGCUGUGUAUGAUCAGGUCGGAGAUCCCCAACCCUGAGGCCAUCCUUGUGCCGGCAAUGAGAGCUUCGUACUCUGCCUCAUUGUUUGAGGCUUUAAAGUCAAAUGGCAAGGUUUCGUAAAAUAUGCGAUGUAUAGGGCUGAUUAAUACGACGCUUGCCCCAGAUCGUUCUCCAGUGGAUGAACCGUCAACAUAAAAUCUCCAUGGGGUUUCUUCUUGUAGUUCCUUGAUUGGGACGUUGCAAAACUCAGAGACAAAGUCGGUGAGUGCUUGGCCCUUGAUGGAGGAACGUGGCGUGUAUUUGAUGUCGAAUUGUCCAAGCUCGACUGCCCAUUUUACCAUCCAACCUGAAGUGUCGGGUCUUUGUAGUGUUUGUCUUAAUGAAGAGUUGGUGAGAACCUCAAUGGGGAGUUCCAAGAAAUAUGGCCUUAGUUUUCGCAUGGUUAUCAGCAGGGUGAAUGCCAAUUUCUCUACAGAUGAAUAUCUGAGCUCGGCUUCGUGAAGUGCCUUGCUUACGUAAUAGACUGUGUGUUGAACACCGUUCUCUUCUCGGGUUAGAAUCGCACUAAUGGCGUGUUCUGAAACAGAUAAAUAAAGUUUCAGGACCUCAUCAGCCUUAGGUUUUGAAAGCAACGGAGGCUGAGCUAGUUGUCUCUUUAGCUCGUUAAAGGCGUCCUGGCAUUCUUUGGUCCAUUCGAACUUUUUCCCCCAUGUAAUGUGUCAAAGAAGGGUUUGCAGCAGUCCGUAGACUUGGAGACGAACCGGCUGAGGGUGGCAAUCCUUCCAGUUAAACUUUGUGCCUCUCUAGGUUUAGUUGGAGGCCUCAUUUGGAUGACAUCUUGUAUUUUUUUCAGGAUUUGCCUUGAUUCCUCGGUUGUUCACAAUGUAACCUAGGAAUCUUCUAGAGCUGACCCCGAAAGCACAUUUCCUUUGGUUCAACUUCAUUCCAUACUUCCUCAGUAUAUCAAACAUCUCGGUCAGGUGCUGACGGUGAUCCUUGGCCUUGAUGCUUUUGAUCAGCAUAUCGUCAACAUACACUUCCAUUGUUUUUUCGAUCUGUUGGGAAAACAUAGAAUUCACCAGUCGUUGGUAGGUCACACCAGUGUUUUUGAGACCAAAUGGCAUUACUCUGUAACAGUAAAGACCUCGGUCAGUUACAAACGAGGUAUGUUCUUGAUCUAGGCCGUACAUCGGUAUCUGGUUAUAUCUGGAAUACGCAUCCAUGAAGCUGAGUAGUUCGUGUCUGACAGUGGCGUCCACCAUUUGAUCUAUUCUUGGCAAAGGAAAACUGUCUUUUGGACAUGCUUUGUUGAGGUCGAUGAAGUCUAUGCAUACCCUCCAAUCUCCAUUGUGUUUUUUCACAAGGACCGAAUUUGCGACCCACUUCGGGUAUUUGGCCUCACGGAGGAAACCGUUAUGCAACAGUUUUUGCUCCUCCUUGUUGAGUGCUUCAUAUCUUUCAGGGUUCAGAGGUCGUCGUUUUUGCUGCUUUGGCCGAACUGAAGGAUCCACUUGUAAUUUGUGGCAUGCGAUGUUGGGGUCUAUUCCUCUCAUGUCCCCGUGAUUCCAAGCGAAGACAUCAAGGUUUUGUCUAAGGAAGGCCACAAUUUCGUUUCGGGUGGAUGGCUGCAGCUUGUGCUCAACUUUGAGCUCUUUUGUAGGGUCCUUGGCACAGACUUGAACUCCUUCUAAUUCUUCGACAGGUUCUCCGCCUUCGAUCCUGGUCCACAGGUCUAGUGGAAUGAGCUCGGAUUCCCAUAUGUUUGCCUUAUACACUCCCGGGGAGUUGCGUUGAUUUCUGGCACAGGUCUUCCUCAUGGCGGUCGUUUGAGGGUCCUGCCAUCGUGGAGAGCUUGGUGGUGUAUUCGUUUCAUGAGGGUGGGUAUGAAAUGGGUUUUUGGAACUUAAGCUACGACUCAUGGCUCUCGAAUUUUGUGGAAAGAAUGAGACUAUUUUUCACAAUUAGGGCCCUCCUUCUAGGCCCAAACUGUUGACGUCAAAAUUAGUAAGACUAAUCUUAAGCCAACUUUAAGAAAAAAGGGCAAUUUAUUGUUGAAAAAAACCACAAAAUAUGUUUAGAGAGCGUAAUUAUUCCUUGAGUUGUUGUAUAAAAUCACUUUUCCUUUACAAGAGUCCUAUUCAACUAUUUAUACAUAGUUUCAGCCGACAUUACAUCAAAUCAAUUAAAUCAGCAACAGUACCGAGCUCGAAACUCGGGUCGUCGGAUUCUCUUGUGAUUGGUCGAUGAGACGUGACCAUGUGUCAAUAUUUUCCCCAGGUAAUGAUGACCUGCAAGGGGCUGGAGGUUGAAGACUUAGGAUUGGUUGUUCCGGGCGGUGAUGAUGUUGCCUGUGGCAAGUGUAUUUGAUUGAUAGGGUGAUGUAACAUGGGGUAAUCAUUGUGUUUUUCUGAGAUAACGGCGGGAUUGUCCGACCUGGGAGUAAUGACCGAACUCACAUUUAAUUGAGGUGGGGUUAGCGAACUGUUUUUAUUAGAUCGGAGUUCGGAUGUCAACAUAUAAAAAUAUUAAAACCCCCACUAGGCCACUCUCAUUCGCCAUAUAAAAAAUAAAAUAAAAAAAUAAAAACAAAGAAAAAAUGAAACUUUUUUUUUUAUGAUCAUGGGUGUCCGAGCUAACUUACGCACACCUCGACUAAUCCCACGAGAUCCUGAAGUUUACAGCAAGAGACUCACUUCUGUGGUCUUGAGGAGACUCAAAUUGGUGACCAUUGUGGGGCAAACUGAAAACCUGAUCACUGAGUUACUCCUCAGGGUUAGAAAAGGAUGAAACUGAAAAUAGAGCUAGAUUUUACCAUGUUCGACACCAUUAUUUGAAGUAAUUUCCACUAAUUAAGGCAAGAAAAGAGGAAAAGUAAUUUUUUUUCUUCCCAUAUUCUAAUCUUCUCUUUCUAAAAGUUAAAAGAAUCUGAAAAUUUGGUGAUAGAAACUAGGUAUGGAGAUGUCUAGUUUUGUCCGAUUUCAAAGAGAAUCGAAAUGAGUCAAAACAAAAAUUAUUGGGCAUUUUUUGAAUGGAAACUUAUGGUCCAAAUUUACUUAUGGAAUAGUUCGAUUGAUUCUAUCUUGUAUCAUAAUUACAUUUUUAAUGUUAAAACAACACAACAUCAAAAUAAAAUAGAAAUUAAAAUGAAUAGAAAUAAAAUAUAUUUAUGAUAUUACUUGUACUUACCAACCAUUUAAUCAUCCAUUAUUUGGCUUAUGGCUAGGGAUGGCAACGGAGUUGGUAUGGGACGGGUCAUCAAUUCUCACACUCGUCUCGUCGGAUAUUUUUAUUAUCUUACCCUAUACCCAUACCCGAUUAAAGCGGAACGGGGCGGGGCAAAUCUCAUGUCCCAUUUAUCGCCUCAUUUAUUUUUUCAUUUUAUUUUUUGCUUUUAUUUUUUAUGUCAUUAGUUAGUAAAUAGUAUUAUUUUUUUACCAAUUUGUUAAAAACAACUUAUAUUCUCUUUAAAAAGGAUGAUAAAUAUAUUAUUUUUGUUUGAUAAAAACUUAAAUUUGAAAUUAAUAUUAAUUGGGGCGAGAACUAUGUUUUCUGUACCUGUCCUAUACCCGUUUUGGGGCAAUGACCCUCCUCCCAUACCCAUCCCAUAUACCCGGUUAGACGGAUACUAUCCACCCUAGGCAAGCUCCAUGGGUAUAGUGUUAAACGGGUUUUUUUGCCAUCCCUACUCAUGGCACUAAAAAACUCUACAUGAAUAAUUUGAAAAGGCACAAAAAAUAAACAAACAUAAAAAACCUAAAAUAUGUCCAACUAUUAAGAUUUAUCUGAAAAAAAUAUUAUUUAUCUUUAUUACCUAUCUCAAUGCCAUCACAAAAUUUGACCCCUUCGAUGUGAACUUUAUUUUGAAAAACACUCUUCUCGUAAACUGUUUUGUGGACAAACUAUAAGACCACAACCUUUCAUAGAGUUAAAGAACACGUGAAUCAAGCAUGCACCCUCCAAUACUAAUUAAUCACUCGAAAGCAACUCUAGAUACAAGAAUGGAGUGUACAUCCCCCAUAAAUGGAGAUAGAAAUUUAAAUAUAAACUAUUGAUAUUCCGCCAAUUCAAAACAUCAAAUUUUCCGUGUGUAACAUCUUUUGUGGGUUUCGUUAGAUAUCUCGGUACUCAUCUUUUCCAUAGAAAUCCUCUUUGCUAGUUUCCAUUUUCUUGUAACCAAAUUAAAAAUUAUAAUAAUCCCAAUCUUCAUCAUGAGAACUUCCAACAAAGUGACGCCAUCAUUUGAAUCACCAUUACCUCUAUCACUACCACUGUGUGCAAUGCUAUCCCUUUGUAUUGGUUAUAUUUGAUCUUGUUUGUUAAAACUUGUUUUAAAUUAGAGUUUCACAUUUCUUGGGGGUUCGACUUUGAUAGAGUCUUACAAGACACCAACAUAAUGGACAACAAUCUCCAAUUUAAACUAGGAUCAAGUCAACUAUACGAUCAAUAUCAUCUUCAUUUUUUCAACAUACUUGUCAAAGUUAACAUUCAUGCUAUUUGUUGUACUACUUAGCAAUGAAGUAAAUAUUGGAGGAAACAAUAAAGCACUAAACUUGAAGGUGACUUCACAAAAUAGUUCUUAAUGACUUGGCAAAUUUCUAACUUUUUCCCCGUCACAACUCAUAGUUGGCCCUUCUAUUUAUUGUCCACCUUCAUUUGCAUCAAAAUAAUUACAAUAAGAUCCAUCAUUCCUUUCUCCAUCCAAAUAUUUUUAAAAUCCGACGCACUAUCGAACAUUAAGAAUGUUGAAUUUCAUCUAGUAGAAACAUCUAAAACAUCAAGUUUUUUGCAUACAAUCAUUUCUGUUUCGAUACAACAUUUAAAUCUCAUUAAGUGAGCAGGAGAGGAUAAAAAAAAAUUGACCUUAUUGUGACUACUUGCAAUGGAUGUAUUAAAUUCUUUCAACCAUUUUUUAUCAAUCAAAUUGACUAUGCGUGCAAAAGAAAAUACAUGUAAAUAAUUAGCACUUAAAUCAUAUUAUAAGUAAUUAGCUUUUCAAUUCUUCAGCUUGUUUUUCAAAUUAAUGAUUGUUGUAUCAUUUGUGUUUGCAUUUUGAAAAGGGGUGAUACCCAUAUACUCUAUUCCCAAUCUAGCAAACAUUUCAAUAAGUUCCCCAAGUAUUUUCCCUUUAUGAUUUGGAACAACAGAAAAAUCCAAAAUCGUACUGUGCAAUUUUCAACUUUUAUCAAUGAAGUUUGUUGUGAUUACCAUAUUGUUUUGAAUUGAGGUCCAAUAAUUAGUGGUUAAAAAAAACCCUUAGUCUAUCAUUGAUAUAUUCAAUCCUUGACGAUUCAAUUAUUUCUUGGUAGAGAUGAAGCAUAUUUCUUGUAAGCAUUCUUCAGUAAGGAACCUCAAAUCUAGGACAUAUGUUGUCUCACAAAAUCUAGGUCAUAUAUAUUUCUUGAUUUUCGUUGUGUGUGUUGUAGGAUUAUAGUUAUUACUUGGUACUUCGUUGUAAGGGAAAAAAAAUACAAUUAAUCUUGAAAGGUAUUAUUUACUUCCACUUAUGUUAGCCGACUACAAGUAUGUUCUAAAAGUAUUUAUAGAUAGCUCUCAUCAUAAAUAAAGAGAAAUGAGUUAUGAAUAAGUAGAUAACACUUAUGAAUACGUUAAAAUAUGCGAAUAAUUUUUUUUUUAAAUUUAAAUGUUUAUAAACACAAACCAAAUAUUGGCUAAGUCUAAGCUAUACUAUUUCAAGGUGUUAAGAAUGCUUCCCUUUUUAAAAAUUUCUCUAGGUUUCUUAAAUUAUGAGUAAAUUUAAUCGAAGAGAGAUACACUUUAAGGGUCAAAAGAAGGGUAAGCAAGUGAAAUGAUAAACCUAGAAAAUUGUGACGUUAUUAGUGAAAGAAGAAAAAAUGAACUACGAUUACGACCCUAUCAUAAAGAAAGGCAUAUGUGAAAGUGGCCAAGAAGUCUCUCCUCUCUCUCUGGGCAUUUCACUUAGAAUCAAAUCAUUAAUUAUAACUAAAAAAAGUGCUUAAGAGGUUAUUUCUAUGUAUAUCUACCAAGUCAACAAGGUUGACUUAUAGCUCGAAAGACCUGCAACGAUACUGGAGAUAUUUUUUUGUGUUCAUAUGGAACGCUUCAACUGUGCUAAAAAGUCAAAUAUUUAAUCCCAUAAAGUAGCAUUUCCAUUUUUUUGCAAGACCCUUGAUUAUUCUAUGAAUAUGUUAUGCAUGCAAAAUAAAUAUUUUUUAUUUUCACACGAAUUAAAGUAAUGCAAUUAAUAUAAUAGAAAUAUAAUUUUUUAAAUUUUUUUUCUUAAUAUAUCUUUAUAUUAAAUAAUUGACUAAAUAAGAGUAGUCCAUAUUUAUUAAUAACAAAACAGAUUAAAUAGAGGUGCAUCAUAAAAUUAAGAAAUUAAUUAUACUAAAAAUAAGGAAAGUGAUCUAUAAUUUAGGACAAACUUAAAGGGAAAGAAAGCCGAUCUUUAUAGAAUGGAUGGAGUAAUAGACAUUUAUAAUCAUAUAUCUUAAGGGCUCGUUUGGAAGAAUUCUUUCUUGUUUAUUUAUUUAUUUUUUUUAGGAGAAAAGCUUUCCGAACAAGUUAAAUUAGACCAACUUUUUCCAAAAUUUCUUUUAAUCAGAUAAAAUAAUUUCAAAAAGUUAUUCAAAUAUAUUAAAAAGUUACUUCUUUUAAUAUCAAAUUUAACUUUUAAUUUUUUAAAAACUAUGCCAAAAGGACCCUAAAUAAACCUAUAUAAUUCUAGUGCUUAUAAGACAUAAAUCAAAUGAUUUUUCUUUUCACUAAACUUAUGUGGACAACUAUUUCAAUGAAUCAGAAAAUAACCAAAUUAUUACAUCAGCAAAGUCAUAUAGACUGUAAAAUCUUUGAAGCGGUGUAUGUACGUUAUCGAAUAGAAUCAAGUGAAAUUAAGUUGGAGGAAUUUUAAUGUUCACACAUUGUUUUCCCUAUCUCAAGUAGUAGGGUCAAAAUCAACAUGUCAACAAACAAUGAUUAUUUAAACAUAAAUAUAAAUCAAAUCUUUCAUACGAAGUUUAAAAAAUUAGAUAAAGGUAUAAUUCAAUGCUAUAUUUUAACAUGUGAAAUUUCGAGUUUGAGUUUGUCAUCAAUUCAAUUAUUAAAUUUUUCUAAGUUUCUUUGCUCUUUUUUUUUUUUUUUUUUUUUUUUGCAUUACCAAAGUAUUCUUCAAAAAAUAAAAUAAAAUAAAAUAUAUUAUGUUGACGUCAAAAUUAGCAAGGCUAAUCUUAAGCCAACUUUAAGAAAAAAAGGGCAAUUUAUUGUUAAAAAAACCACAAAAUAUGUUUAGAAAGCGUAAUUAUGCCUUGAGUUAUUGUAUGAAAUCACUUUUCUUUUACAAAAGUCCUAUUCAACUAUUUAUACAUAGUUUCAGCCGAUAUUACAUCAAAUCAGUCAAAUCAGCAACAAUACCGAGCUCGAAACUUGGGCCGUCGGAUUCUCUUGUAAUUGGUCGAUGAGGCCGAUGGCCAUGUGUCAAAGUUUUCCCUAGGUAAUGAUGACUUGCAAGGGGCUGUAGGUUGAGGACUUAGGAUUGGUUGUUCCGGGCGGCGAUGAUGUCACCUGUGGCAAGUGUAUUUGAUUAAUAGGGUGAUGUGACAGGGGGUAAUAAUGAUGUUUUUCUGAGAUAACGGCGGGAUUGUUCGACCUGGGAGUAAGGACCGAACUCACAUUUAACUGAGGUGGGGUUAGCGAACUGUUUUUAUUAUAUCGGAGUUCGGAUGUCAACAGUUACCCCCCAGGUCAGUUCUUCCAUAAGGGGGGCUGACCUUCUGACUUCAUGGGUUCUUUUUUCAAGAAAAGUAAUUAUUAUUAUGCCAAGUGUCAUGCUUGGGUAGGGAUGAGCCAUACGACAUUUUUAGAUAGCUUGAUAAGUUUUCUGAUACUGUGUCGUUUUGCCCAGGAGACAUUUCAACCGUAGAUCUUCCCUCCUUUAUUUUGAACUAACGGCCAGAUUAAAACCCUUUAUCUUCCUUCUUUUUAAAUAUUCAAUGGCUUUUCAUUUUUUCUUUUUACUUUACACUGUUUUCUCUCAAAGCACCAAGGAAUUCUGAGCACGCCCUGUCUGUAGUUUGAGUAAGGUCGUCCUUCGAGUUCCCAGGUAUUCCUUCGCUUCUUCACUUUGUCCGUUUGUUUUGUUCUUUUCCAUGAGUUCGGAUGAGUCGAGGGUUCAAUCCUGGGAAAAUCAACAGGAAGAAUCCGUCCCUUCUACUUCUAGUUCGUGCUCGGGGUGUAGAGAGAUUAUUACUCCUGUUCCUAUUUCUAUUGUUAACCCCAUUACUUUGGCCCGUCCUGGGGAGAUGGGGCGAGAUAGGGUAGAUGAGGAGGUGGGUUCCCCUAUGGGUAGUGAAGGGAAUGAUCAGUUGGAGUGGGGGGCUGGUUCUUAUAGGUCGGUAGUUACAGGUGAUAUGUUAGCUAGUUGGAGGGCAAAAUAUGAUAUUUCGAGUUCGGUAAUUAUGAUAAUCCAUGAACCAUCCGACCAUGUUGACACUCCCCCUAUGGGAUGUGUCGCAUUGAAUUCUGCCAUCCUUCAAGUCGGGUUGAGAUUACCUAUUCCUAGGGUUAUUCAUAAGUUCUUGUCUUCUUAGGGCAUAGCUCCGACCCAGUUAUGCCCAAAUGGGUGGUGGACUCUGAUCGUCACGCUUAUUCUGUGAGAUAGAUUAGGUAACCCUGAGCUUAUGGUUGAGCAGUUCAACUCUUUAUUUACUUUUAAGGAGGAUGGGAAGAACUCGGGUUGGUGGUAUACAAGUGUUAGGCCAAGGACGGGAGGUUCUCUGGUUUUAGACAUCCCUUCGUCGAUUAAGAAAUGGAAGGAAGAGUGGUUCUAUGUGUCAGGGGAGUAGCAAUUUCAUUCUGUCGAGGUAAAUAGGGACGACAUGGUCCCAGUGCUUUAUCACUCGUUAUGUAAGUAACUGCCUCUUGGUGUUUUGACCUAGAUUGUAUUCCAAGCGGCUCUAAUUGAUAUCAUGUUACUGUGCAGAUUACAAGAGGCCUACACUGAAGAAAGACACUCAGAGGCGAGCGGAAGCAAUCUAUGCAUUGCCCAAGAAACAGAGAUCUUGCAAAUUUUUUCUCUCGAAUUCCAACCUUUUCCAGGCCUGCUUGAUUAAAACCAGGGUGUCGGGGCCUUCCGCCGUUGCAGUGUCUACAUCGGUUUUGACUAGUUCAGGUCGAUUUUGAUUGGUUUAUUGAAGUGAUAUUUGUUAGAGUUUAGUACUGACAUACUUUUUUGUUUACAACUCACAAUUCAGAAAUGUUGGGAUACAAGGCGGCGAAAGCUACGGUCAUGGCGAAGGCCAAGAAAAGGGACGUUCUAGAGCGGGAUGAAAGUCGUUCGAAGGAAGUAGAGGGCGAGGUCCCCUUGAAGAGGAACCGUACUGGUACGUCGGCCGCACUAAGGGUCCCUGAAAUUGAUCCUGCGUUGAGCUAUUCUCCUUUGGUGGCCAUCACUUUGCCAUCUUCAGCUCAUACCUAGCCACCUCCUACGGCAUCUGCUUUCGCUUUGACUAUCUCGAUAAGGGUGUAGGAGAGGUGCCCGGACUUACAGAGGCCAUCAUUGGACAAUCUGCUAGGCCACUGUCCAGAGAUCUUCUUGGAUUACUUGUGAGCUCCAUCUCCAUCGAGGGAGGUUACUGCUGCACUUUCCCUCCACCUCUGCGUGAUUCUGCAAACCUGUUUACCAGGAGUUGGGGUGAAAGGGAGCAGGGCUUCCUUAAUGAGAUACCCAUAGGCGAGGCCCUAGUGAGAGCUCAACUCCACGACCAUUGCUCUAUCCUGUACACGACGAUCGUAGCUGAUAAGGUAUUUUCCUUACUUCAUUUUAUUUGAUGAUUUACAUAUUUGCGAGGUGCUUAACUUAUGGAUUUUAAUUUAGGUGAAAUCUAAGCUCGACAAACUAAUGGAGGCCAAGGAUCAGACCUUGAAUUUGUAUAAUAGCAUGGAGGCUGAGAGAGCUCAGUUUGCAAUAAAAGAAAAAGAAUACGAUGAGAAGCUUAACACAAUGGGGUUUGAGCUGAACUCGAGGCUGGAUAUGGAGGAGAAGUGGAUGGGGGAGAUUAGAGCUCUGAGGGGGGAGGCCGGUCGUAAGGCUAAGGCUGAGAAGAAGAUGAUUGAAGAAGAGAGAGUUCGGACUGAGGAGGCUGUGGAGAAGGUACGGAAGGCAAAUGAGAGAGCAAGAGAGGCGAUGCAUAGAGCUGAGGAGGCUGAAUCUAGGGCUGCAAGGGCAGUGGAGACUUGGAGGUCGUCCUCCGAGUUUGACGCUCUUGCUCUGGAUGCUUACGUCGUGGCUUUGGAGGAAGUAGUAAAACACAUUCGCAGAGAGAGGCCAGGAUUCGACAUGGGUUUCCUUGAGGAGGCUAUGGAAGAGCAGAAGGAAGAGCUUCAGCAUUUGUCAGAAGCAGCAGGGGUUUGGAUUUCUCCUGCUGAUGAAGAUGAUGUCGCUCCUCGCGAAGACUUCCCUCCCCCUAGCUCUUCUUAGGACAUUUUUUGGAUUUGUGAUGAAUUUGUUAAACUUUACGGAUAUCUUGUUUGUGGUUGAAGAUGAGCCGUAUUCUAUUUUGAAUGCUUAUGAAAAUGCAUGUUUUUUUUUGUGGGGUCUAAGUUUUAUUGGUUAUUUCAUCCUUUCGUAAAGUUUUAAUGAUGGAAUGUCUUCUAGUCAGUGUAUGUGACAGAACUCGUAAGACUUGCACAUGCUGGUAGGCUUCGUAGAAUUUUCAAAUAGGAAUUUUCGCUAAGGAUCGCAACACUUACGACCUUAGAUCGGCCUGCGUAUGGAGCAAGGUUUUGUAAGAUUCUUUAGGAGGAAUGUCCACUAAGGGUAACACGUACAACCUUAGAUCGGCCUACGUAAGAAGCAGAGCUUUGUAAGAUUCCUUACGAGGAAUGUUCACUAGGGGUCGCAGCACUUACGACCUUAGAUCGGCCUGCGUAUGGAGCAGGACUUUGUAAGAUUUCUUAGGAGGAAUGUCCACUAAGGGUAACACGUUCAGCCUUAGAUCGGCCUGCGUAUGUAGUAGGGCAUUGUAAGAUUCCUUAGGAGGAAUGUUCACUAAGGGUCGCAGCACUUAUGACCUUAGAUCGGCCUGCGUAUGGAGCAGUGCUUUGUAAGAUCCUUAGGAGGAAUGUCUACUAAGGAUAACACGUCCAACCUUAGAUCAACCUGCGUAAGUAGCAGGGCUUUGUAAGAUUCCUUAGGAGGAAUGUUCACUAAGGGUCGCAGCAUUGACGACCUUAGAUCGGCCUACGUAUGGAGCAGGGUUUUGUUAGAUUUUUUGGAAGGAAUGUCCACUAAGGGUAACACGUACAGCCUUAGAUUGGCCUACAUAUGUAGCAGGGCUUUGUAAGAUUCUUCAGGAGGAAUGUCUACUAAGGGUCGCAGCACUUACGCCCUUAGAUCGGCCUGCGUAUGGAGUAGGGCUUUGUAAGAUUCCUUUUCUUCUCGUUUAGGUCGAGUUUCGUAUGAAGAGCCAUGUGGUUCCUUUUGCAGCGAGGGAAUUCUGAUUUCUAGUGGGAUCACAGCCUCUACACCGAAAGCCAGUGAGAACGCUAUUUCUCCCGUACUAGUCCUUGCAGUGGUGCGAUAAAACUCUAGCACACUGGGGAGUUCUUUGGCCCAUCCUCCUUUAAACAAGUCGAGUUUUGCUUUCAAUAUAUGUUUAAUAAUUUUGUUAUUGGCUUCGACUUGGAUGUUUUCCUGCGGAUGGUUCGGCGUUGAGAAAUAUUUCUUGAUGCUUAACUCUUCACAGAAAUCUGAAAGUCAUGCGUUGUCGAGCUAUUUUCCAUUGUCCGUAACAAUGGAGUGAGGUAUGCCGAACCUGCAGAUGAUUAAUUUUCACAAAAAGUCGAUUGUUUUCUGUUCGGUGAUCUUGGCAAGUGGCUCUACCUCAGCCCAUUUGGUGAAGUAAUCAACUGCAACGAUGGCAAAUUUUACACCUCCUUUUCCAACGUUCAUAAGUCCAAUUAGGUCAACCCCCCAUUUUGCAAAGGGCCAAGGUGUUGUUACUGGGUUCAACUCGCGUGGUGAAGCAUUUAUGAUGGGGGCGAGGUGCUGGCAUUUGUUACAUCUUUUGACAAAUUCAAGGAAAUCACGUCUUAUUGCAGGCCAGAAUUAUCCUUGUCAUAUGAUCUUAUGGGCUAGUGAGAGCCCACCUGAAUGGUUUCCACAUAUUCCUUCGUGAACGUCUUGCAGGGUAUGCUGAGCUUCUUCUUCAUUUAAACACCUUAACAAAGGAUUAGAAUAUCCCCGUUUGUAUAGUACAUCAUCAUUGAGUGUAUACCUGGCCGACCUGAUUCGAUGCUUUCUAGCCGCUGCAAAAUUUUCGGGACAUUUCCCGAUUUUUAGGUAGGUGAUGAUCUCAUCCUGCCAAGUUGGUUUGGAGUCUAUCAUCAUAUGGACCACUUCGUCCAGCUCGGUAGACGAUAGGGAUAUUCUUCCCAUGGGGAUGCUAUCGAAUUUUUCAAUUCCCUCAUUGGUGGCUAGCCGGGCCAGCGCGUCGGCGUGACCGUUCUAUGACCGGGAAAUUUGCCUGACUUCAGCGGUGUUGAACUUUUCAAGUUCUUUUCUUAUAACUUGUAGAUAGUUGUCCAUUCUUUCUUCUUUUACCAUAUAUACGUCGUUGACCUGAUUUAUGACUAGUUGAGGGUCGCUGUGUAUGAUCAGGUCGGAGAUCCCCAACCCUGAGGCCAUACUUGUGUCGGUAAUGAGAGCGAGGCUUUAAAGUUAAAUGGAAAGGUUUCGCAGAAUAUGCGAUGUUCAGGGCUGAUUAAUACGACGCCUACUCCAAAUCAUUCUCCAGUGGAUGAACCAUCGACAUAAAGUCUCCAUGGGGUUUCUUCUUGCAGUUCCUCGACUGGAGGUUUCUUCUUGUAGUUCCUCGAUUGGGACAUCGCAAAACUCAGAGACAAAGUCGGUUAGUGUUUGGCCCUUGAUGGAGGAACGUGGCGUGUAUUUGAUGUCGAAUCGUCCAAGCUCGACUUCCCAUUUUACCAUCCAACCUGAAGUGUCGGGUCUUUGUAGUGUUUGCCUUAAUGAAGAGUUGGUGAGAACCUCAAUGGGGUGUUCCAAGAAAUCUGGCCUUAGUUUUUGCGCGGUUAUCAGCAGGGUGAAUGCUAGUUUCUCUACAGAUGAAUAUCUAAGCUCGGCUUCGUAAAGCGCUUUGCUUACGUAAUAGACUGGGUGUUGAACACCGUUCUCUUCUCGGGUUAGAAUCGCACUAAUGGCGUGUUCUGAAACAGAUAAAUAAAGCUUCAGGACCUCGUCGGCCUUAGGUUUUGAAAGCAACAGAGGCUGAGCUAGUUGUCUCUUUAGCUCGUUAAAGGCGUCUUGGCAUUCUUUGGUCCAUUCGAACUUCUUUCCUCCUCGUAAUGUGUCAAAGAAGGGUUUGCAACAGUCCGUACACUUGGAGACGAAUCGGCUGAGGGCGGCAAUCCUUCCGGUUAAACUUUGUGCCUAUCUAGGUUUAGUUGGAGGCCUCAUUUGAAUGACAGCUUGUAUUUUUUUCAGAAUUUGCCUCGAUUCCUCGGUUGUUCACAAUGUAACCUAGGAAUCUUCUAGAGCUGACCCCGAAAGCACAUUUCCUUGAGUUCUACUUCAUUCUAUACUUCCUCAGUAUAUCAAACAUCUCGGUUAGGUACUGACAGUGAUCCUUGGCCUUGAUGCUUUUGACCAGCAUAUCGUCAACACACACUUCUAUUAUUUUUUCGAUCUGUUGGAAAAACAUGGAAUUCACUAGUCGUUGGUAGGCCGCACCAGUGUUUUUUAGACCAAAUGGCAUUACUAUGUAGUAGUAAAGACCUCGGUCAGUUACAAGCGAGGUAUGUUCUUGAUCUGAGCCGUACAUCGGUAUCUAGUUAUAUCCGGAAUAUGCGUCCAUGAAGCUGAGUAGUUCGUGUCCAGUAGUGGCGUCCACCAUUUGAUCUAUUCUUGGCAAAGGAAACUGUCUUUUGGGCAUACUUUGUUGAGGUCGGUGAAGUCUAUGCAUACCCUCCAAUUUCCGUUGUGUUUUUUCACAAGGACCGAAUUUGCGACCCACUUCGGGUAUUUGGCCUUACGGAGGAAACCAUUAUGCAACAGUUUUUGCACCUGCUUGUUGAGUACUUCAUAUCUUUCAAGGUUCAGAGGUCAUCGUUUUUGCUGCUUUGGUCGAACUGAAGGAUCCACCUGUAAUUUGUGGCAUACGAUGUUGGGGUCUAUUCCUCUCAUGUCCCCGUGAUUCCCGGCGAAGACAUCAAGGUUUUGUCGAAGGAAGGCCACAAUUUCAGUUCGGGUGGAUGGCUGUAGCUCGCGCUCGACUUUGAGCUCCUUUGUUGGGUCCUUGGCACAGACUUGAACUCCUUCUAGUUCUUCGACAGGUACUCCUCCUUCGAUCCUGGUCGCAGGUCUAAUGGAAUGAGCUCGGAUUCCCAUACGUUUGCCUUAUACACUCUCGGGGAGUUGCGUUGAUGGAUGGUACAACUUUUCCUCAUGGCAGUCGUUUGAGGGUCCUGCCGUUGUGGAGAACUUGGUGGUGCAUUUGUUUCAUGAAGGUGGGUGUGAAAUGGAUUUCUGGAACUUGAGCUACGACUCAUGGCUCUCGGAUUUUGUGGAGAGAAUGAGACUAUUUUUCACAAUUAGGGCCCUCUUUCUAGCGCCAAACUGUUGAUGUCAAAAUUAGCAAGACUAAUCUUAAGCCAACUUUAAGAAAAAAAUGGCGAUUUAUUGUUGAAAAAAAACCAUAAAAUAUGUUUAGAGAGCGUAAUUAUGCCUUGAGAGCUUUUAUGAAAUCACUUUUCCUUUACAAGAGUCAUAUUCAACUAUUUAUACAUAGUUUCAGCCGACAUUACAUCAAAUCAAUUAAAUUAGCAACAGUACCGAGCUCGAAACUCGGGUCGUCGGAUUCUCUUGUGAUUGGUCGAUGAGACGUGACCAUGUGUCAAUAUUUUCCCCAGGUAAUGAUGACCUGCAAGGGGCUGGAGGUUGAAGACUUAGGAUUGGUUGUUCCGGGCGGUGAUGAUGUUGCCUGUGGCAAGUGUAUUUGAUUGAUAGGGUGAUGUAACAUGGGGUAAUCAUUGUGUUUUUCUGAGAUAACGGCGGGAUUGUCCGACCUGGGAGUAAUGACCGAACUCACAUUUAAUUGAGGUGGGGUUAGCGAACUGUUUUUAUUAGAUCGGAGUUCGGAUGUCAACAUAUAAAAAUAUUAAAACCCCCACUAGGCCACUCUCAUUCGCCAUAUAAAAAAUAAAAUAAAAAAAUAAAAACAAAGAAAAAAUGAAACUUUUUUUUUAUGAUCAUGGGUGUCCGAACUAGCUUACACACCUCGACUAAUCCUACGGGUUUUUAAAGUUUACAGUUGAAUGCUCACUUCUGCGGUCUUGAGGAGACUAGAAUUGGUGAACAUUGUGGAGCAAACUGAUGACCUGAUCACUGAGUUACCCCUUAGGGUUAGAAAAAGAUGAAACUGAAAGUAGAGCUAAUUCUUCUUGGGGGUUCGACUUUGAUAGAGCCAUACAAGACACCAAUACAAGCAACAACAACAACCAAUUAAAAAAAGAAAAAAGGAAAAUGAUACGAUCAAUAUCUUAUUCAUUUUUUCAACAUACCUGUCAAAGUUAACAUUCAUGCUAUUUGUUGUACUACUUAGCAAUGAAGUAAAUAUUGGAGGAAACAAUGAAGCGCUAAACUUCAAGGAGACUUCACAAAUAGUUCUUAAUGACUUGGCAAAUUUAUAACUUUUUCCCGGUCACAACUCAUAGUUGGCCCUACUAUUUAUUUUCCACCUUCAUUUGCAUCAAAAUAAUUACAAUAAAAUCCAUCAUUCCUUUCUCCAUCCAAAUAUUUUUUAAAGUCCGACGCACUAUCGAACAUUAAGAAUGUUGAAUUUCAUCUAGUAGAAACAUCUAAAACAUCAAGUUUUUUGCAUACAAUCAUUUCUGUUUCAAUACAACAUUUAAAUUUCAUUAAGUGCGCGGGAGAGGAUAAAAAAAUUUGGCCUUAUUGCGACUACUUGCAAUGGAUGUAUUAAACUCUCUCAACCAUUUUUUAUCAAUCAAAUUGACUAUGCGUGCAAAAGAAAAUACAUGUAAAUAAUAAGCACUUAAAUCAUAUUAUAAUUAAUUAGCUUUUCAAUUCUUCAGCUUGUUUUUCAAAUUAAUGAUUGUUGUAUCAUUUGUGUUUGCAUUUUGAAAAGGGGUGAUACCCAUAUACUCUAUUCCCAAUCUAGCAAACAUUUCAAUAAGUUCCCCAAGUAUUUUCCCUUUAUGAUUUGGAACAACAGAAAAAUCCAAAAUCGUACUGUGCAAUUUUCAACUUUUAUCAAUGAAGUUUGUUGUGAUUACCAUAUUGUUUUGAAUUGAGGUCCAAUAAUUAGUGGUUAAAAAAAACCCUUAGUCUAUCAUUGAUAUAUUCAAUCCUUGACGAUUCAAUUAUUUCUUGGUAGAGAUGAAGCAUAUUUCUUGUAAGCAUUCUUCAGUAAGGAACCUCAAAUCUAGGACAUAUGUUGUCUCACAAAAUCUAGGUCAUAUAUAUUUCUUGAUUUUCGUUGUGUGUGUUGUAGGAUUAUAGUUAUUACUUGGUACUUCGUUGUAAGGGAAAAAAAAUACAAUUAAUCUUGAAAGGUAUUAUUUACUUCCACUUAUUUUUAUGGCUUAAUUUCUUAGCCUCUAUUUGAUAGAAAUUUAUAAAUGAUUUAUGAAUUUAAAUUGGAAGUCAUGUGUAAAUUUAAACAGCACAUUAAUAACUACUAAUCUUUAUAAUACAUACAUUUCAUGAGGUCAAUUGCUAUUUCUCUUUAUAAAUUUGCUAAACGAAGUUUUAGUUGUAAGUUAAAGUUUAAAAAAAUUAUGCCUGGCCAAAUAUGCUUGAAAUAGAAGAAGUGAUAAUGUAUUAAGGUGCUCUUGCUUGCCAUUUGUUGGAACAAUGUUAGCCGACUAUAAGUAUGUUUUGAAAGUAUUUAUAGAUAGUUCUCAUCAUAAAUAAAGAGAAAUGUGCUAUGAAUAAGUAGAUAACACUUAUGAAUACGAUAAAAUAUGGGAAUAAUUUAUUUUAUUUAUUAUUAUUUUUUUUAAUUUGAAUGUUUGUAAACACAAACCAAAUAUUGGCUAAGUCUAAGCUAUACUAUUUCAAGGUGUUAAGAAUGCUUCCCUUUAAAAAAAUUUCUCUGGGUUUCUUAAAUUUUGAGUAAAUUUAAUAGAAGAGAGAUACACUUUAAGAGUCAAAAGAAGGGUAAGCAAGUGAAAUGAUAAACCUAGAAAAUUGUGACGUUUUUAGUGAAAGAAGAAAAAAUGAACUACGAUUACGACCCUAUCAUAAAGAAAGGCAGAUGUGAAAGUGGCCAAGGAGUCUCCCUCUCUCAGGGCAUUUCACUUAGAUUAAUAUCAGUCAAAUCAUUAAUUAUAACUAAAAAAAGUGCUUAAGAGGUUAUUUCUAUGUAUAUAUCCUAAGUCAACGAUACUGGAGAUAUUUUGUGUUUAUAUAGAAUGCUUCAACUGUGCUGAAAAGUCAAAUAUUUAAUCCCAUAAAGUAGCAUUUCCCUUUUUUUGCAAGACCUCUUGAUUAUUCUAUGAAUAUGUUAUGCAUGCAAAAUAAAUAUUUUUAUUUUCACACGAAUUAAAGUAAUGCAAUUAAUAUAAUAAAAAUAUAAUUUUUAAAAAAAAAUUCUCAAUACAUCUUUAUAUUAAAUAAUUGACUAAAUAAGAGUAGUCCAUAUUUAUUAAUAACAAAACAGAUUAAAUAGAGGUGCGUUAUAAAACUAAGAAAUUAAUUAUACUAAAAAUAAGGAAAGUGAUCUAUAAUUUAGGACAUACUUAAAAGGAAAGAAAGCCGAUCUUUAUAGGAUGGAUGGAGUAAUAGACAUUUAUAAUCAUUUAUCUUAAGGGCUCGUUUGGAAGAAUUCUUUCUUGUUUAUUUAUUUAUUUUUUUUAGGAGAAAAGCUUUCCGAACAAGUUAAAUUAGACCAAAAUAAUUCCAAAAAGUUAUUCAAAUAUAUUAAAAAGUUGCUUCUUUUAAUAUCAAAAUUAACUUUUAAUUUUUUAAAAACUAUGCCAAAAGGACCCUAAAUAAACCUAUAUAAUUCUAGUGCUUAUAAGACAUAAAUCAAAUGAUUUUCCUUUUCUCUAAACUUAUGUGGACAACUAUUUCAAUGAAUCAGAAAAUAACCAAAUUAUUACAUCAGCAAAGUCAUAUAGACUGUAAAAUCUUUGAAGCAGUGUAUGUACGUUAUCGAAUAGAACCAAGUGAAAUUAAGUUGGAGGAAUUUUAAUGUUGACACAUCGUUUUUCCUAUCUCAAGUUUGCAGGGUCAAAAUCAACAUGUCAACAAACAAUGAUUCUUUAAACAUAAAUAUAAAUCAAAUCUUUCAUACGAAGUUUAAAAAAUUAGAUAAAGGUAUAAUUCAAUUCUAUAUUUUAACAUGUGAAAUUUCGAGUUUGAGUUUGUCAUCGAUUCAAUUAUUAAAUUUUUCUAAGUUUUUUUUUUUUUUUUUUUUUUUUGCAUUACCAAAGUAUUCUUCAAAAAAUAAAAUAAAAUAAAAUAAAAUAUAUAAUGUUGACGUCAAAAUUAACAAAGCUAAUCUUAAGUCAACUUUAAGAAAAAAAAAAGGCAAUUUAUUGUUGAAAAAAGACAACAAAAUAUGUUUAGAGAGCGUAAUUCUGCCUUGAGUUGUUGUAUGAAACCACUUUUCCUUUACAAGAGUUCUAUUCAACUAUUUAUACAUAGUUUCAGCCGACAUUACAUCAAAUCAGCAAUAGUACCGAGCUCGGAACUCGAGUCGCCAGAUUCUCUUGUGAUUGGUCGAUGAGGCCGAUGGCCAUGUGUCAAUGUUUUCCCCAUGUAAUGAUGACCUGCAAGGGGCUAGAGGUUGAGGACCUAGGAUUGGUUGUUCCGAACGGUGAUGAUGUCACCUGUGGCAAGUAUAUUUGAUUGAUUGGGUGAUGUGACAGGGGGUAAUCAUGAUGUUUUUCUGAGAUAACGGUGAGAUUGUCCGACCUGGGAGUAAGAACCGAACUGACAUUUAACUGAGGUGGGAAUAACGAACUCUUUUUAUUAGAUCGGAGUUCGGAUGUCGACAGUUACUCCCCAGGUCAGUUCUUCCAUAAGGGGGGCUGACCUUCUGACUUCACGGGUUCUUUUUCCAAUAAAAGUAAUUAUUAUUAUGCCAAGUGUCAUGCCUGGGUAUGGAUGAGCUGUACAGCAUUUUUAGAUAGCUUCUUUGAUAAGUUUCCCGAUGCGUGUCAUUUUACCCAGGAGAUAUUUCAACUGUAGAUCUUCCCUCUUUUAUUUUGAACUAAUGGCCCAAAUUAAAACCUUUUAUCUUCCUUCUUUUUAAAUAUUCAAUGACUUUUCAUUUUGUCUUUUUACUUUACACUGUUUUCUCUCAAAGCACCAAGGAAUUUCGAGCACGCCCUGUCUGUCGUUUGAGUAAGGUCGUCCUUCGAGUUUCCAAGUAUUCCUUCACUUCUUCACUUAGUCCGUUUGUUUUGUUCUUUUCCAUGAGUUUGGACGAGUCGAGGGUUCAAUCAUGGGGAAAUCAACAGGAAGAAUCUGUCCCUUCUACUUCUAGUUCAUCUUCGGGGUGUAGAGAGAUUUUUACUCCUGUUCCUAUUUUUAUUGCUAACUCCGUUACUUUGGCCCGUCCUGGAGAGAUGGGGCGAGAUAGGGUAGACGAGGAGGUGGGUCUCCCUAUGGGUAGUGAAGGGAACGAUCAGUUGGAGCGGAGGGCUGAUUCUUACAGGUCGGUAGUUACAGGUGAUAUGUUAGCUAGUUGGAGGGCAAAAUAUAAUAUUUCGAGUUCAGUAAUUAUGAUAAUCCCUAAACCAUUUGAUCGUGCUGACACUCCCCCUAUGGGACGUGUCGCAUUGAAUUCUGCCAUCCUUCAAGCCGGGCUGAGAUUACCUAUUCCUAGGGUUAUCCGUAAGUUCUUGUCUUCUUGGGGCAUAGCUCCGACCCAGUUAUGCUCAAAUGGCUGACGGAUUCUGAUCACCACGCUUAUUCCGUGGGAUAGAUUAGGUAACCCUGAGCUUAUGGUUGAGCAGUUCAACUCUUUAUUUACUUUUAAGGAGGAUGAGAAGAACUUGGGUUGGUGGGACACAAGUGUUAGGCCAAGGACGGGAGGUUAUCUGGUUUUAGACACCCCUCCUCGAUUAAGAAAUGGAAUGAAGAGUGGUUCUAUGUGUUGGGGGAGUGGCAGUUUCAUUUUGUCGAGGUGAAUAGGGACGACGUGAUCUCAGCGCUUUAUCACUCGUUAUGUAAGUAACUACCUCUUGGUGUUUCGAUCUAGAUUGUAUUUCGAGCGGCUCUAUUGAUAUCAUGUUACUGUACAGAUUACAAUAGGCCUACACUGAAGAAAGGCACUCAGAGGCGAGCGGAAGCAAUUCGUGCAUUGUCGAAGAAACAGAGAUUUUGUAAAUUUUUGCUCCUGAAUUCCAACCUUUUCCAGGUCGGCUUGAUUAAAACCAGGGUGCCGGAGCCUUUCACCGUCACAGCGUCUACAUCGGUUCCAACUAGUUCAGGUCGAUUUUGAUUGGUUUAUUGAGGUGAUAUUUGUUAGAGUUGAGUACUAACAUACUUUUUUGUCUACAGCUCACAGUUUAGAAAUGUUAGGAUACAAGGCGGUGAAAGCUGCUGCUGCAGCGAAGGCCAAGAAGUGGGACAUCCCAGAAUGGGAUGAAAGUCAUUCUGAGGAAGUGGAGGACGAGGUCCCCUUGAAGAGGAACCGUACUGGUACGCCGGCCGCACCAAGGGUCCCUGAAGCUGAUCCUGCGUUGAGCUCUUCUCUUUUGGUGGCCAUCACUUUGCCGUCUCCAGCUCGUACCCCACCACCUCAUGCGGUACCUGCUUCUACUUUGACUAGCUCGACAAGGGUACAGGAGAGGUGCCCCGACAUAUAGAGGCCAUCACUGGACAGUCUGCUAGGCCACUGUCCAGAGAUCUUUCUGGAUUACUUGCGAGCUCCAUCUCCAUUGAGGGAGGUUACUGCUGCACUUCCCCCACCUCUGCGUGAUUCUGCAAACCUACUUACCAGGAGUUGGGGUGAAAGGGAGUAGGGCUUCCUUAAUGAGAUGCCCAUAGGUGAGGCCCUAGUGACUGCUCAACUCCACGGCCAUCGCUUUAUCCUGUACAUGACGGACGUAGCUGAUAAGGUAUUUUCCAUAUUUGAUGAUUUACAUAUUUACGAGGUGCUUAACUUAUGGAUUUUAAUGUAGGUAAAAUCUGAGCUCGACAAAUUGAUGGAGGCCAAGGAUCAGGCGUUGAAUUUGUAUAACAGCAUGGAGGUUGAGAGAGCUCAGUUUGCAAUAAAAGAAAAAGAAUACGAGGAGAAGCUUAACACGAUGGGGUUUGAGCUGAACUCGAGGCUGGAAAUGGAGGAGAAGUGGAUGGGGGAGAUUAGAGCUCUGAGGGGAGAGGCCAAUCAUAAGGCUGAGACUAAGAAGAAGAGGAUUGAGGAAGAGAGAGUUCGGACUGAGGAGGCUGUGGAGAAGGUACGGGAGGCAAAUGAGAGAGCGAGAGAGGCGAUGCGUAGAGCUGAGGAGGCUGAAUCUAGGGCUGCGAGGGUAGUGGAGACUUGGAGGUCGUCUUCCGAGUUUGACGCUCUUGCUCAGGAUGCUUAUGUCGUGGCUCUGGAGGAAGUAGUAAAACACAUUCGCAGAGAAAGGCCAGGGUUCGACGUGGGUUUCCUUGAGGAGGUUGUGGAAGAGCAGAAGGAAGAGCUUCAGCGUUUGUCGGAAGCGGCAGGGGUUUGGAUUUCUCCUGCUCAUGAAGAUGAUGUCGCUCCUUGCGAAGACCUCCCUCCCCCUAGCUCUUCUUAGGACAUUUUUUGGAUUUGUGAUGAAUUUGUUAAACUUUAUGGAUAUCUUGUUUGUGCUUGAAGAUGAGCCGUACUCUAUUUUGAAUGCUUAUGAAAAUGCAUAUUUUUUUUGUGGGGUCUAAAUUUUAUUGCUUAUUUCAUCCUUUCGUAAAGUUUUAAUGAUGGAAUGUCUUCUAGUCAGCGUAUGUAACAGCACUCCUAAGUCAUGCGAACCUAGAUCGACUUGCACAUGCUGCAGGGCUUCGUAGAAUUUCCAAAUAGGAAUCUUCGCUAAGGGUCAUAGCAUUUACGACCUUAGAUUGGCCUACGUAAGUAGCAGGGAUUUGUAAGAUUCCUUAAGAGGAAUAUUCACUAAGGGUAACACGUAAAGCCUUAGAUUGACCUGCGUAAGUAGUGGGGCUUUGUAAGAUUCCUUAGGAGGAAUGCUCACUAAGGGUCGCAGCACUUAUGACCUUAGAUCGGCUUACGUAUGGAGCAGGAUUUUUUAAGAUUUCUUAGGAGGAAUGUCCACUAAGGGUAACAUGUACAGCCUUAGAUCGGCCUGCGUAAGUAGCAGGGCUUUGUAAGAUUCCUUAGGAGGAAUGUUCACUAAGGGUCGCAGUACUUACGACCUUAGAUCGGCCUGCGUAUGGAGCAGGACUUUGUAAGAUUUCUUAGGAGGAAUGUCCACUAAGGGUAACACGUUCAGCCUUAGAUCGGCCUGCGUAUGUAGCAGGGCUUUGUAAGAUUCUUUAGGAGGAAUGUUCACUAAGGGUCGCAGCACUUCUGACCUUAGAUCGGCCUGCGUAUAGAGCAGGGUUUUAUAAGAUUCCUUAGGAGGAAUGUCCACUAAGGGUAACAUGUACAGCCUUAGAUCGGCCUGCGUAAGUGGCAGGGUUUUGUAAGAUUUCUUAGGAGGAAUGUUCACUAAGGGACGCAGCACUUGCAACCUUAGAUCGGCCGACGUAUGGAGCGGGGCUUUGUUAGAUUUCUUAGGAGGAAUGUCCACUAAGUGUAACACGUACGGCCUUAGAUCGGCCUGCGUAUGUAGUUGGGUUUUGUAAGAUUCCUUAAGAGGAAUGUCCACUAAGGGUUGCAGCACUUACGUCCUUAGAUCGGUCCGCGUAUGGAGCAGGGUUUUGUAAGAUUUCUUAGAAGAAAUGUCCACUAAGGGUAACACGUACAACCUUAGAUCAGCCUGCAUAGGGAGUAGGGCUUUGUAAGAUUCCUUAGGAGAAAUUUCCACUAAGGGUAACACGUACAACCUUAGAUCGACCUGUGUAUGUAGCAGAGCUUUGUAAGAUUCCUUAUGAGGAAUGUCCACUAAGGGUCGCAGCACUUAUGCCCUUAGAUCGGCCUGCGUAUGGAGCAGGGCUUUGUAAGAUUUAUUUUCUCCUCGGUUAGGUUGAGUUCCGUACGAAGAGCCAUGUGGUUCCUUUCGCAGUGAGGGAAUGCUGACUUCUAGUGGGAUCACAGCCUCUACACCGAAAGCCAGUGAGAACGAUAUUUCUCCCGUACUAGUCCUUGCAGUGGUGCGAUAAGACCAUAGCACACUGGGGAGUUCUUUGGCCCAUCAUCCUUUAAACAAGUCGAGUUUUGCUUUCAAUUUAUGCUUAAUAAUUUUGUUAAUGGCUUCGACUUGGCUGUUUUCCUACGGAUGGUUCGGCGUUGAGAAAUAUUUCUUGAUGCUGAACUUCUCACAGAAAUCUGAAAGUCUUGCGUUGUCGAACUGUUUUCCAUUGUCUGUAACAAUGGAGUGAGGUAUGCCGAACCUGCAGAUAAUUUAUUUUUACAAAACGUCGAUUAUUUUUUGUUCAGUGAUCUUGGCAAGUGGCUCUGCCUCGGCCCAUUUGGUGAAGUAAUCAACUGCGACGAUGGCGAAUUUUACACCUUCUUUUCCAACAGGCACAGGUCCAAUUAGGUCGACCCCCCAUUUUGCAAAGGGCUAAGGUGCUAUUACUGGGUUCAACUCGCGCGGUGGAGCGUUUAUGAUGGGGGCGAGGCGCUGGCAUUUGUCGCAUCUUUUCACAAAUUCAAGGAAAUCACGUCUUAUUGCAGGCUAGAAGUAUCCUUGUCAUAUGAUCUUGUGGGCUAGUGAGAGCCCACCUGAAUGGUUUCCACAUAUUCCUUCGUGAACGUCUUGCAGGGCAUACUGAGCUUCUUCUUCAUUUAAACACCUUAACAAAGAAGUAGAAUAUCCCCGUUUGUAUAGUACAUCGUCAAUGAGUGUAUACCUGGCCGACCUGAUUCAAAGCUUUCUAGCCUCCGCAAAAUUUUCGGGACAUUUCCCGAUUUUUAGGUAGGUGACGAUCUCAUCCCGCCAGGUUGGUUUGGGGUCGAUCAUCAUAUGGACCACUUCGUCCAGCUCGAUUGAUGGUAGGGAUAUUCUUCCCAUGGGGAUGCUAUCGAGUUCUUCAAUUUCCUCACUGGUGGCUAGCUGGGCUAGUGCGUCGGCGUGACCGUUCUACGAUCGGGAGAUUUGCUUGGCUUAGGUGGUGUUGAACCUUUCAAGUUCUUUUCUUACAACUUGUAGAUAAUUUUUCAUUCUUUCUUCUUUCGCCAUAUAUACACUGUUGACCUGAUUUACGACUAGUUGAGAGUCGUUGUGUAUGAUCAGGUCGGAUAUCCCCAAUCUUGAGGCCAUCCUUGUGUUGGCAAUGAGAACUUCGUACUCUGCCUCAUUGUUUGAGGCUUUAAAGUCAAAUGGCAAGGUUUCGCAGAAUAUGUGAUGUUCAGGGCUGAUUAAUACGACGUCUGCCCCAGAUCGUUCUCCAGUGGAUGAACCGUCGACAUAAAAUCUCCAUGUGGUUUCUUCUUGUAGUUCCUCGAUUGGGAUGUUGCAGAACUCAGAGACAAAGUCGGUGAGUGCUUGGCCCUUGAUGGAGGAACGUGGCGUGUAUUUGAUGUCGAAUUGUCCAAGCUCGAUUGCCCAUUUUACCAUCCAACCUGAAGUGUCAGGUCUUUGUAGUGUUUGCCUUAAUGAAGAGUUGGUGAGAACCUCAAUGGGGUGUUCCAAGAAAUAUGGCCUCUGUUUUCGCGCGAUCAUCAGCAAGGUGAAUGCCAGUUUCUCUACAGAUGAUUAUCUGAGCUCAACCUGUAUAUGUAGCAGGGUUUUGUAAGAUUUCUUAGGAGGAAUGUCCACUAAAGGUCGUAGCACUUACGCCCUUAGAUCGGCCUGCGUAUAGAGCAGGGCUUAUAAGAUUCCUUUUCUCCUCGAUUAGGUCGAAUUCCGUACGAAGAGCCAUGUGAUUCCUUUCUUCGUCAUAAUCAGUUAUGCGCAGCGAGAAAAUGCUGACUUCUAGUAGGAUCAUAGCCUCUACACCAAAAGCCAGUGAGAACGGUGUUUCUCCCGUGCUAGUCCUUGCAGUGGUGCGAUAAGACCAUAGCACACUGGGGUGUUCGUCAGCCCAUCCUCCUUUAAAUAAGUCGAGUUUUGCUUUCAAUAUAUAUUUAAUAAUUUUGUUAAUGGCUUCGACUUGGCCAUUUGCCUGCGGAUGGUUCGGCGUUGAGAAAUAUUUCUUGAUGCCAAACUUUUCACAGAAAUUUGAAAGUCGUGCGUUGUCGAACUAUUUUUUAUUGUUCGUAACAAUGGAGUGAGGUAUGCCGAACGUGCAGAUGAUUGAUUUCCUCAAAAGUCGGUUGUUUUCUGUUCGGUGAUCUUGGGAAGUGGCUCUGCCUUGGCCCAUUUGGUGAAAUAAUCAACUGCGAUGAUGGUAAAUUUUACACCUCCUUUUCCAACGGGUAUAGGUCCAAUUAGGUCGACCCCCAUUUCGCAAAGGGCUAAGGUGCUGGUGGCGAGGCGCUAGCAUUUGUCGCAUCUUUUGAUAAAUUCAAGGGAAUCACAUCUUAUUGCAGGCUAGAAGUAUACUUGUCGUAUGAUCUUGUGGGCUAGUGAGAGCCCACCUGAAUGGUUUCAACAUAUUCCUUUGUGAACGUCUUGUAGGACAUGCUGAGCUUCUUCUUCGUUAAAACACCUUGACAAAGAUGUAGAAUAUCCCCGUUUGUAUAGUAUAUCGUUAAUGAGUGUAUACAUGGUCGACUUGAUUCGAAGCUUUCUAGCCUCUGCAAAAUUUUCGGGACAUUUCCCCAUUUUUAGGUAGGUGACAAUCUCAUCCUGCCAGGUUGGUUUGGGGUGUAUCAUCAUAUGGACCACUUCGUCCAGCUCGGUAGACGGUAGGGAUAUUCUUCCCACAGGGAUGCUAUCGAAUUCUUCAAUUCCCUCACUGGUGGCUAGCGGGCCAGUGCGUCGGCGUGAUUGUUCUGCGAUCGAGAAAUUUGCCUGACUUCGGUGGUGUUGAACCUUUCAAGUUCUUUUCUUACAACUUGUAGAUAUUUAUCCAUUCUUUCUUCUUUCGCCAUAUACACACCGUUGACCUGAUUUACGACUAGUUGAGAGUCGCUGUGUAUGAUCAGGUCGAAGAUCCCCAACCCUGAGGCCAUCCUUGUGCUGACAAUGAGAGCUUUGUACUCUGCUUCAUUGUUUGAGGCUUCAAAGUAAAACAGCAAGGCUUUGCAGAAUAUGCGAUGUUCAAGGCUAAUUAAUAUGACGCCUGCUAGAGAUUGUUCUUCGGUGGAUGAACCAUCGACAUAAAGUCUCCAUGGGGUUUCUUCUUGUAGUUCCUCGAUUAGGACGUUGCAGAACUCAGAGACAAAGUCGGCGAGUGCUUGACCCUUGAUGGAGGAACGUGGCGUGUAUUUGAUGUCGAAUUGUCCGAGCUCGACUGCCCAUUUUACCAUCCAACCUGAAGUGUCGGGUCUUUAUAGUGUUUGCCUUAAUGGAAAGUUGGUGAGGACCUCAAUGGGAUGUUCCAAAAAAUAUGGCCUUAGUUUUCACACAGCCAUCAGCAGGGUGAAUGCCAGUUUCUCUACAGGUGAAUAUCUGAGCUCGGCUUCGUGAAGCGCCUUGCUUACGUAAUAGACUGGGUGUUGAACACCGUUCUCUUCUCGGGUUAGAAUCGCACUAAUGGCGUGUUCUGAAACAGAUAAAUAAAGUUUCAGGACCUCGCCGGCCUUAGGUUUUGAAAGCAACGGAGGUUAAGCUAGUUGUCUUUUUAGCUCGUUAAAGGCAUCCUGGCGUUCUUUGGUCCAUGAACUUCUUUCCUCCUCGUAACGUGUCAAAGAAGGGUUUGCAAUGGUCCGUAGACUUGGAGACAAAUCGGCUGAGGGCUGCAAUCCUUCCGGUUAAACUUUGUACCUCUCUAGGUUUAGUUGGAGGCCUCAUUUAGAUGACAGCUUGUACUUUUUUUAGAAUUUGCCUCGAUUCAUUUGUUGUUCACAAUGUAACCUAGGAAUCUUCCAGAGCUGACCCCGAAAGCACAUUUCAUUGGGUUCAACUUCAUUCCAUACUUCCUCAGUAUAUCAAACAUCUCAGUCAGGUGCUGACAGUGAUCUUUGGCCUUGAUGCUUUUGACCAGCAUAUCGUCAACAUACACUUCUAUUGUUUUUUCGAUCCGUUGGGAAAACAUGGAAUUCACUAGUCGUUGGUAGGUCGCACCAUCGUAUUUUAAACCAAAUGGCAUUACUCUGUAGCAGUAAAGACCUUAGUCAGUUACAAACGAGGUAUGUUCUUGAUCUGGGCCGUACAUCGGUAUCUGGUUAUAUCUGGAAUACGCGUCCAUGAAGCUGAGUAGUUUGUGUCCGGCAGUGGCGUCCACCAUUUGAUCUAUUCUUGGCAAAGGAAAACUAUCUUUUGGGUAUGCUUUGUCGAGGUCGGUGAAGUCUAUGCAUACCCUUCAAUCUCCGUUGUGUUUUUUCAUAAGGACCGGAUUUGCGACCCACUUCGGGUAUUUAGCCUCACAGAGGAAACCGUUAUGCAAUAGUUUUUGCACCUCCUUGUUGAGUGUUUCAUAUCUUUUAGGGUUCAGAGAUCGUCAUUUUUGCUGCUCUAGCCGAACCUGUAAUUUGUGGCAUGCGAUGUUGAGGUCUGUUUCUCUCAUGUCCCCAUGAUUCCAGGCGAAGACAUCAAGGUUUUGUCUAAGGAAGGCCACAAUUUCAUUUCAAGUGGAUGGCUGCAGCUCGCGCCCGACUUUGAGCUCCUUUGUUGGGUCCUUAGCGCAGACUUAAACUCCUUCUAGUUCUUCGACGGGUUCUCCUCCUUCGAUCCUGGUCCGCGGGUCUAGUGGAACGAGCUCGGAUUCCCAUACGUUUGCCUUAUGCACUCCCAAGGAAUUGCGUUGAUGGCUGGUUUUCCUCAUGGCGGUCGUUUGAGGGUCCUGCCAUCGUGGAGAACUUAGUGGUGUAUUCAUUUCAUGAAGGUAGGUGUGAAAUGAAUUUCUGGAACUUAAGCUACGACUCAUGGCUCUCGGAUUUUGUGGAGAGAAUGACACUAUUUUUCACAAUUAGGCCCUCCUUCUAGUGCCAAACUAUUGACAUCAAAAUUAGCAAAACUAAUCUUAAGCCAACUUUAAGAAAAAAAAGGGCGAUUUAUUGUUGAAAAAAGACCACAAAAUAUGUUUAGAGAGUGUAAUUAUGCCUUGAGUUGUUGUAUGAAGUCCAUUUUCCUUUACAAGAGUCCUAUUCAACUAUUUAUACAUAGUUUCAGCCGACAUUACAUCAAAUCAGUCAAAUCAGCAACAAUACCGAACUCGAAACUCGGGUUGCCGAAUUCUCUUAUGUUUGGUCGAUGAGGCCGAUGAUCAUGUGUCAAUAUUUUCCCUAGGUAAUGAUGACCUGCAAGGGGCUGGAGGUUGGGAACUUAGGAUUGGUUGUUCCGGGCGGUGAUAAUGUUACCUGUGGCAAGUGUAUUUGAUUGAUAGGGUGAUGUGACAUGGGUUAAUCAUGAUGUUUUUUUGAGAUAACGGCGGGAUUGUCCGACCUGGGAGUAAGGACCGAACUCACAUUUAACUGAGGUAGGAUUAGCGAACUGUUUUUAUUAGAUCGGAGUUCAGAUGUCAACAUAUAAAAAUAUUAAAACCCCCACUAGACCACUCUCAUUCGCCAUAUAAAAAAUAAAAUAAAAAAAUAAUAACAAAGAAAAAGAUAAAACUCUUUUUUUUUUUUAUGAUCAUGGGUGUCCGACACAGCUUAUGCACACCUCGACUAAUCCCACGUCCUGAAAUUUACAGCUGGAUACUCACUUCAUUGAUCUUGAGGAGACUCGAACUGGUAACCAUUGUGGAGCAAACUGAAGACCUGAUCAUUGAGUUACCCCUCAGGGUUAGAAAAAGAUGAAACUAAAAGUAGAGCUAAUUCUUUCCAUGUUCAACACCAUUACUUGCAGUAAUUUCCACUAAUUAAGGCAAGAAAAGAGGAAAAAUAAUUUUUUUUCUUCCUAUAUUCUAAUCGUCUCUUUCUAAAAGUUAAAAGAAUAUGAAAUUUUGGUGAUAGAAACUAGGUAUGGAGAUGUCUAGUUUUGUCCGAUUUCAAAGAGAAUCGAAAUGAGUCAAAACAAAAAUUAUUGGGCAUUUUUUGAAUGGAAACUUAUGGUCCAAAUUUAAUUAUGGAAUAGUUCGAUUGGUUCUAUCUUGUAUCAUAAUUACAUUUUUAAUGUUAAAACAACACAACAUCAAAAUAAAAUAGAAAUAAAAUAUAUUUAUGUUAUUACUUGUACUUACCAACCAUUUAAUCAUCCAUUAUUUGGCUUAUGGCUAGGGAUGGCAACGGGGUUGGUAUGGGAUGGGUAUCCAUUCUCACCCUUGUCUCGUCGGAUAUUUUUAUUAUCUUACCCCAUACCCAUAUCCGAUUAAAGCGGAACAGGGCGGGGCAAGUCUCCUAUCACAUUUAUCGCCCCAUUUAUUUUUUCUUUUUCUUUUUUAUUUUUUGCUUUUAUUUUUUAUGUCAUUAGUUAGUAAAUAGUAUUAUUUUUUUACCAAUUUGUUAAAAAAAACUUAUAUUCUCUUUAAAACGGAUGAUAAAUAUAUUAUUUUUGUUUGAUAAAAACUUAAAUUUGAAAUUAAUAUUAAUCGGGACGUGAACUAUGUUUUCCGUACCCGUACCAUACCCGUUUUGGAGCAAUGACCCUCGCCCCAUACCCAUCCCAUAUACCCGGUUAGACGGAUAUUAUCCACCCCAGGCAAGCUCCAUGGGUAUAGUGUUAAAUGAGUUUUUUUGCCAUCCCUACUCAUGGCACUAAAAAACUCUACAUGAAUAAUUUGAAAAGGCACAAAUGAAACAAACAUAAAAAACCUAACAUAUGUCCAACUAUUAAGAUUUAUCUUAAAAAAAAUAUUAUUUAUCUUUAUUACCUAUCUCAAUGCCAUCACAAAAUUUGACCCCUUCGAUGUGAACUUUAUUUUGAAAAACACUCUUCUCGUAAACUGUUUUGUGGACAAACUAUAAGAUCACGGCUGUUCAAACAGAUAAAGAACACGUGAAUCAAGCAUGCACCCUCCAAUACUAAUUAAUCACUCGAAAGCAACUCUAGAUACAAGAAUGGAGUGUACAUCCCUCAUAAAUGGAGAUAGAAAUUUAAAUAUAAACUAUUCAUAUUCCGCCAAUUCAAAACAUCAAAUUUUCUGUGAGUAACAUCUUUUGUGGGUUUCGUUAGAUAUCUCGGUACUCAUCUUUUCCAUAGAAAUCUAUUUUGCUAGUUUCCAUUUUCUUGUAAACAAAUUCAAAAUUAUAAUCAUCCCAAUCAUCAUCAUGAGAACUUCCAACAAAGUGACGCCAUCAUUUGAAUCACCAUUACCUCCAUCACUACCACUGGGUGCAAUGCUAUCCCUUUGUAUUGGUUAUAUUUGAUCUUGUUUGUUAAAAAUUGUUUUAAAUCAGAGUUUCACAUUUCUUGGGGGUUCGACUUUGAUAGAGUCUUACAAGACACCAAUAUAAUGGACAACAAUAUCCAAUUUAAAAUAGGAUCAAGUCAACUGAUACGAUCAAUAUCUUAUUCAUUUUUUCAACAUACUUGUCAAAGUUAACAUUCAUGCUAUUUGUUGUACUACUUAGCAAUGAAGUAAAUAUAGGAGGAAACAAUGAAGCGCUAAACUUCAAGGUGACUUCACAAAUAGUUCUUAAUGACUUGGCAAAUUUCUAACUUUUUCCCGGUCACAACUCAUAGUUGGCCCUUCUAUUUAUUUUCCACCUUCAUUUGCAUCAAAAUAAUUACAAUAAAAUCCAUCAUUCCUUUCUCCGUCCAAAUAUUUUUUAAAAUCCGACGCACUAUCAAACAUUAAGAAUGUUGAAUUUCAUCUAGUAGAAACAUCUAAAACAUCAAGUUUUUUGCAUACAAUCAUUUCUGUUUCGAUACAACAUUUAAAUUUCAUUGAGUAAAAGAGGAUAAAAAAAAUUUGGCCUUAUUGCGACUACUUGCAAUGGAUGUAUUAAACUCUUUCAACCAUUUUUUAUCAAUCAAAUUGACUAUGUGUGCAAAAUAAAAUACAUGUAAAUAAUAAGCACUUAAAAUCAUAUUAUAAUUAAUUAGCUUUUCAAUUCUUCAGCUUGUUUUUCAAAUUAAUGAUUGUUGUAUCAUUUGUGUUUGCAUUUUGAAAAGGGGUGAUACCCAUAUACUCUAUUCCCAAUCUAGCAAACAUUUCAAUAAUUUCCCCAAGUAUUUUCCCUUUAUGAUUUGGAACAACAGAAAAAUCCAAAAUCGUAUUGUGCAAUUUCCAACUUUUAUCAAUGAAGUUUGUUGCGAUUACCAUAUAGUUUUGAAUUGAUGUCCAAUAAUCAGUGGUUAAAGAAAUCCUUUGUCUAUCACUGAUAAAUUCAUCCUUGACGAUUCAAUUAUUUCUUGGUAGAGAUGAAACAUAUUUCUUGUAGGCAUUCUUCAGUAAGGAACCUCAAAUCUAGGACAUAUGUUGUCUCACAAAAUCCAGGUCAUAUAUAUUUCUUGAUUUCCG